rnacentral:rRNA from 1 species
GACGAACGCUGGCGGCGUGCUUAACACAUGCAAGUCGAACGGAAAGGCCCUGCUUUUGUGGGGUGCUCGAGUGGCGAACGGGUGAGUAACACGUGAGUAACCUGCCCUUGACUUUGGGAUAACUUCAGGAAACUGGGGCUAAUACCGGAUAGGAGCUCCUGCUGCAUGGUGGGGGUUGGAAAGUUUCGGCGGUUGGGGAUGGACUCGCGGCUUAUCAGCUUGUUGGUGGGGUAGUGGCUUACCAAGGCUUUGACGGGUAGCCGGCCUGAGAGGGUGACCGGCCACAUUGGGACUGAGAUACGGCCCAGACUCCUACGGGAGGCAGCAGUGGGGAAUAUUGCACAAUGGGCGGAAGCCUGAUGCAACAACGCCGCGUGCGGGAUGACGGCCUUCGGGUUGUAAACCGCUUUCGCCUGUGACGAAGCGUGAGUGACGGUAAUGGGUAAAGAAGCACCGGCUAACUACGUGCCAGCAGCCGCGGUGAUACGUAGGGUGCGAGCGUUGUCCGGAUUUAUUGGGCGUAAAGGGCUCGUAGGUGGUUGAUCGCGUCGGAAGUGUAAUCUUGGGGCUUAACCCUGAGCGUGCUUUCGAUACGGGUUGACUUGAGGAAGGUAGGGGAGAAUGGAAUUCCUGGUGGAGCGGUGGAAUGCGCAGAUAUCAGGAGGAACACCAGUGGCGAAGGCGGUUCUCUGGGCCUUUCCUGACGCUGAGGAGCGAAAGCGUGGGGAGCGAACAGGCUUAAAUACCCUGGUAGUCCACGCUGUAAACGGUGGGUACUAGGUGUGGGGUCCAUUCCACGGGUUCCGUGCCGUAGCUAACGCUUUAAGUACCCCGCCUGGGGAGUACGGCCGCAAGGCUAAAACUCAAAGGAAUUGACGGGGCCCCGCACAAGCGGCGGAGCAUGCGGAUUAAUUCGAUGCAACGCGUAGAACCUUACCUGGGUUUGACAUGGAUCGGGAGUGCUCAGAGAUGGGUGUGCCUCUUUUGGGGUCGGUUCACAGGUGGUGCAUGGCUGUCGUCAGCCCGUGUCGUGAGAUGUUGGGUUAAGUCCCGCAACGAGCGCAACCCUUGUUCACUGUUGCCAGCACGUUAUGGUGGGGACUCAGUGGAGACCGCCGGGGUCAACUCGGAGGAAGGUGGGGAUGACGUCAAGUCAUCAUGCCCCUUAUGUCCAGGGCUUCACGCAUGCUACAAUGGCUGGUACAGAGAGUGGCGAGCCUGUGAGGGUGAGCGAAUCUCGGAAAGCCGGUCUCAGUUCGGAUUGGGGUCUGCAACUCGACCUCAUGAAGUCGGAGUCGCUAGUAAUCGCAGAUCAGCAACGCUGCGGUGAAUACGUUCCCGGG